rnacentral:rRNA from 1 species
GACGAACGCUGGCGGCGUGCCUAAUACAUGCAAGUCGAACGCAGUGGGGACGGGUGAGUAAAACGUGGGUAACCUCCCAUCAGAGGGGAUAAAACUUGGAUACAGGUGCUAAACCGAUAUUGAAGGAGGGACCCGCGGGGCAUUAGCUAGUUGGAGAGGUAACGGCUCACCAAGGCCACGAUGCAUAGCCGAGCUGAGAGGGGGAUCGGCCACACUGGGACUGAGACACGGCCCAGACUCCUACGGGAGGCAGCAGUAGGGAAUAUUCGGCAAUGGAGGAAAGUCUGACCGAGCAACGCGGCGUGAGUGAAGAAGGUUUUCGGAUCGUAAAACUCUGUUGUUAGAGAGGCGUUAUCUAGCCAGAAAGCAACGGCUAACUACGUGCCAGCAGCCGCGGUAAUUC